AUGGCGAUGAAGCGCCGCUCCGUGCUGGCUUUGCUCGUCGUCGCCUUCGUCGGAGGGAACCUGCUCCUCGGGGCCUCGUUUAGCGCCAGAAGCACGGUGAAGUCCUCAGCCUCAGACCCGGACUAUGGAACUGCUGAGCUAAACGGCAGGAGACUAAAGGAAAGUGGACAAGAUGUUACUAACAGGAAGACUAGGGACUUACAAGAUGUAAAGGCUGAUGACUACCAACCUAUUGACCCAAGUCCAAGCUCGAAGGCAAGUAUCAGGCCAGCUCCAAUCGAGCAUGGCACUCCUCUUCUUCCUUAUGUGCCACGGUACCCGCCGCCUCCUGGUCAGCCUAAGGAUGCGCAUUCUGCUCAGUCUGCUGCCGCUCCUGUCGCUUAG
rnacentral:rRNA from 1 species